GAUCUGGCUCAGGAUGAACGCUGGCGGCGUGCUUAACACAUGCAAGUCGAACGAAGCACUUAAACCUGAUUCUUCGGAUUGAAGGUUUUUGUGACUGAGUGGCGGACGGGUGAGUAACGCGUGGGUAACCUGCCUCAUACAGGGGGAUAACAGUUAGAAAUGACUGCUAAUACCGCAUAAGACCACGGAGCCGCAUGGCUCAGUGGGAAAAACUCCGGUGGUAUGAGAUGGACCCGCGU
rnacentral:rRNA from 1 species